GACAAACGAUUGACUUGUAUUAUUCACUACGAUUAAUCGUUAAACAAAGAUGACUUCCUGAAAUCAUUCAACUUGGUAUAUUGAGCUUGUAAUAACAAAUUUGAGAGCUGAAGGUCCCACCAAGACUCCUGAUAAAGCUUACUGGACGGAAGCCUGGACAUUUGACCCCAGAGCUCAGACCUCAACAAACCCGUGCAAGCAGAAUUUGUUUUCUGCAGGUUGAAACUCUGAAUUUUGGGGUCAGAUUGUCAUUUCUAUCUGGUGUCCUUAAGCAUGGAGAACUACUGACCUGGUGAUUUCAGAGACAAGAAAAAAGAAUCACAGCCUGUGAUGUUGACAAGAUUCGAUCAAUCGCAUGAACUUUAAUUAUCGAUGUGUUACAAAGUAGGGUCACCACAAGAUGGACAAGAAGUUUGUGCUACUUGCAACCAUGUACUAGAAGGACUGAGCAUGUUGGACUAUGAUGGAAACCAUGAAUGCAAGAAUAUUGCAAAAGGACUAUGCAAUUAAGAAUUAUGGACAAUCUGAAUGAUCAGGGAUACUGGGAUCAUGGGCUCCUAUGGGGAAUGGUUGUGGUCUAUGCACAAGUACUGGAAAUAGGUCAUGUGUAUGGGCUUGUGUGUACAGUUCAUGUAGUUUAGUAAGCUGUGACCCCAGUUAAGAAAGCUAAAGUAAGUCAGUUAGGAAGGUCACAGUAAAUUAUGAAUAAAAAGAAGGGAAAUGUGAGAUCUGAUGUCAGAAUAUUCAAUAAAAAGAAGGGAAAUGUGAGAUCUGAUGUCAGAAUAUUCAACAAGUAAGACUCCAUCUUGAUACAAAAUGGCAUAUAUAUUCAUAAGUGAAAUUACAAGAGAAGUUUUGUUUCAGAAUAAUGUAUGUUUAUAAUAUACGCCUAGAUAAGGAAUGUUCUGCAAAACAAGUUUGAAAAACAUAGAUAAAGGGAGCACCUGUCAAUCAAAAAUAAUUAGGAUAAGAUAAAAUAUUUGGGAUGUGCUUGACAUUUGGACAGAGAUUAUAUGACCUGAGAAAAGUUAUAAACAAUAGAUAAGGAAAUAAUUGCUUAAUUGCUUAUUAAAAGUGAUUGAUCUAAACGCACAGGGUGACACGUAUGCAUGGUCUCAUAUGUAUUGCACUGUAUGAGUUUUCCUAUAAAAGGAAUGACUAGAUGCCCAUUAAAGCCAGUGAAUAUCUGACACAGAAA